CUAUGCGCCUUGCCCAGCCCGCUCAGGUGUGCCAGCCGCCGCGGUAAUACGGAGGAUGCGAGCGUUAUCCGGAUUUAUUGGGUUUAAAGGGUGCGUAGCGGGAUGCCAAGUCAGCGGUAAAAAUGCGGUGCUCAACGCCCGUCGAGCCGUUGAAACUGGCGUUCUUGAGUGGGCGAGAAGUAUGCGGAAUGCGUGGUGUAGCGGUGAAAUGCAUAGAUAUCACGCAGAACUCCGAUUGCGAAGGCAGCAUACCGGCGCCCUACUGACGCUGAGGCACGAAAGCGUGGGUAUCGAACAGG
rnacentral:rRNA from 1 species